rnacentral:snRNA from 14 species
GUGCUUAUUUUGAUAGCACAUAUGUGAAAAUUGGAAUGUCGCAGAAUACAUUAGCAGUGCCCCUGACCAAGAACGGCAUUUGUAAGCAUUCCAUUGUUUU